rnacentral:rRNA from 1 species
GAUGAACGAGGGAGGCGUGCCUAAUACAUGCAAGUCGAGCGAACAGACGAGGAGCUUGCUCCUCUGACGUUAGCGGCGGACGGGUGAGUAACACGUGGAUAACCUACCUAUAAGACUGGGAUAACUUCGGGAAACCGGAGCUAAUACCGGAUAAUAUAUUGAACCGCAUGGUUCAAUAGUGAACGACGGUUUUGCUGUCACUUAUAGAUGGAUCCGCGCCGCAUUAGCUAGUUGGUAAGGUAACGGCUUACCAAGGCAACGAUGCUUAGCCGACCUGAGAGGGUGAUCGGCCACACUGGAACUGAGACACGGUCCAGACUCCUACGGGAGGCAGCAGUAGGGAAUCUUCCGCAAUGGGCGAAAGCCUGACGGAGCAACGCCGCGUGAGUGAUGAAGGUCUUCUGAUCGUAAAACUCUGUUAUUAGGGAAGAACAAAUGUGUAAGUAACUAUGCACGUCUUGACGGUACCUAAUCAGAAAGCCACGGCUAACUACGUG